GACGAACGCUGGCGGUGUGCUUAACACAUGCAAGUCGAACGGUAAGGCCCUUUCGGGGGUACACGAGUGGCGAACGGGGGAGUAACACGUGAGUAACCUGCCCUCAUCUCUGGGAUAACAGUCGGAAACGGUUGCUAAUACUGGAUAUGAGCUUGCAAGGCAUCUUGUGGGUUGGAAAGAUUUUUUUGGUUGGGGAUGGACUCGCGGCCUAUCAGCUUGUUGGUGAGGUAGUGGCUCACCAAGGCUUCGACGGGUAGCCGGCCUGAGAGGGCGACCGGCCACAUCGGGACUGAGAGACGGCCCACACUCCUACGGGAGGCAGCAGUGGGGAAUAUUGCACAAUGGACGGCAGUCUGAUGCAGCAACGCCGCGUGCGGGAUGACGGCCUUCGGGUUGUAAACCGCUUUCAAUUGUGACGAAGCGUUUUUGUGACGGUAGCAGUAGAAGAAGCACCGGCUAACUACGUG
rnacentral:rRNA from 1 species